GGGGUUGUGGCUCAGUGGUAGAGCACUUGCCUACACGUGCAGGUCACUUGGUUCGAGCCUCAGCACCA
rnacentral:tRNA from 1 species